AGUGAAUAGAUACCCGGGUAGUCCACGCCGUAAACGAUGGAUGCUAGCUGUACGGAGUAUCGACCCUCUGUGUAGCAAAAAGCUAACGCGUUAAGCAUCCCGCCUGUGGAGUACGAGCGCAAGCUUAAAACAUAAAGGAAUUGACGGGACCCGCACAAGCGGUGGAGCGUGUUGUUUAAUUCGAGGAUAAGCGAAGAACCUUACCCAGGUUUGACAUCCUACUAAGGUUUCCGAAAGGAAACUGUGCCUUCGGGCCGUAGUGACAGGUGAUGCAUGGCCGUCGUCAGCUCGUGUCGUGAGAUGUUUGGUUAAGUCCAUCAACGAGCGCAACCCUUAUAGUUAGUUGGAUUUUUCUAGCUAGACUGCUCCGGAAAC
rnacentral:rRNA from 1 species